GCCUUGGCUUUCAUUCUUCUCACAACAAUGAGGAGCGCAUUCUAGGCUCUCUUUAUAAGCUCAAAAGUAUUUGGAAUCUUUGGAACAAACACUCAACCUUAUCCAAUCUUCAAGGCAAUUGAUAUGAUAUUUUGGCUUUGCUUUAGUUUUUUGCGGACCCCGUCAACUUUUGUUGUCAAUUCUCUGGCCACUGACAACUUUUCAUGCCACAGAUUUCACUUGUGAUACAUGUAAGGGAAUAUAUCCAUAACAAUCUAUUUCUAGAUCGAUCUCUAUAGAAAAACCAAAACCUUUUCCCCUCCAAGGAGAAUUUCUGACAUAACAGUUUGCCACUUGAUAUUUCUUGAAAUCUUUUGAGUUCCUGAUUCCUUGAACUAUUUGAAACAACUCAUUUCUUGGAUGCACUGCAUGUGGAAUGCUUGCUUCUUUGGGGCUUCAAAGGGUCACGCUUGGUGAUUGUUCCAUGAUGCUUUGGCAUUCCAUGAGUCGUCAUGUGCAAUUUAAAAAUAUUGCAAUGGUAUAAAUUCUGGGUUGGGACCAUAAGUGGUAGAAUUUUAGGAAUUUUGUAUUCAUUGAUGAUAGAAGUUCUUAAGGUUCUUUUGACUGGUGCAUUGAGAAGCAGAACAUCAUAUUUGGAAAACUAAUACAUACUGAUAAUUGAUGCUUUCUUUGUACUGUUUGAAAGCAAGGUACCCUAUUCGGAAUAAGCAUGUAAUUCUCUUUUGUCUCCUCUGUUAAGAUAGGUACUUAUUCACCAACAUAGCAGAAGAAGAAGCAGACACCAUUCAAUCACUGUUCAUGUGAAGCCAUCGUUCAAUCAUCAACUUAUUGCACUUGAAUUUGGUGAAAAUUUUUAUACCAUAUUAAGAUCGGAAAGGAUAAUCUCUUUCAUACUUCAUAGUUUCUCAUGUUGGACAACUUUUCUGUUAUCUUUCAAUCUGCUCAUUACUAUAAUAUUAUACAUGUAUGCAUGCGCAUGAUUGUGUAUGCCAGUGUGUUCAUUUAUUUACAUAAGUAAUUUGCAUCUAUAAAUUUAUUUAUCUGGCUUAUGUAGGAAUCUGAUGUCAAUUGCAAGGUCAAGACCUUUGAUUACAGUUUCCCUCAGAGUGACAGUAACCCUCAUCCAGUUUAGCACUUCAUCCAAGCAUCAACGUCAAUAGUGAAAGACUUUUCUUUAAAGGCAAGUGACCAAAGAGCAAAUGCAUCUGAAACUCUUUUCCCCUUUAGUGUUGAUGUCCUCUAUUUGUCGAUACAAAUUGUUUGCAUUUCCUUUUACACUCCACCAUGUCACUUUUAUUCUUCGGUUAGUAAUUUAUAGGACUAGCUUGGGAAGUAAAGGUAACACAGUUCAUGAUUCUGGUGGUGUCUUUGGAUUCAGUAGAAACUUUUACAUUGAAAAUCAAUUAGUAGGUUUCUGGCCAUGCAGUGCGGGGCUCCCGAUGGGUCCCAGAAUUUUAACCUGUACUGUGCUGUAUAUCCUAAGGAAAGCUUGAUGAGGCUGUGCUUUUUGGACGGUGAAAAAGGGUUUGAGGUCUGGUUCCACAACUUCACACUCAAUUUUUGGAAUUUGAAAUUUUGGACCUUGAGGUCGACCACCUGGCUUAUCAAAAGAAGCAUCUUUGGCUGAAGAGCCUGCAGCUAGAAGUGUCCUCAUCAAAGUAUCUUGGUUUACAACUUUCAGCAGCUUAGCUUAUGCUUCUCUACAUUGAUUGCUGUAUUACACAAUUCUACAAAUUACAAGUGGGGCCUCUUCUGGUGCCCAAGUUAUGGAUCUCUGCUAUCUCCCAGACAAUUUACAGAUGUCUGAAAAUAGUAAGAGGUGGGAGAGAAUCCUAUUGGAUUGGGUAUAGGCCAUGCAUUCCAAAUCCCCAAUUUUUUGUUCAAUGGAGUUCAAUUAAGAGGUGAAUUCUAGUUUCAAAUAGUUUUGGAAUGUGGGAUCUGCCCUGUUUACUUCCAACUUUCUCCUCUCUUAGCUUCUGUAUGCUCCUAGCUCUUUCUACCAUUCCAAGUGUUAUCACAUGAAUAGGAAACUCGGGCAACGAGACAUGCCUUUAUCGAAUUUCUAAUAUAAUUGUUGUAUUCGUUUCCAGCUGCUUGAUAUACUCACAGUUUCAGAUUCUACCAAAUGAUUUCUUAGUUACACUUUUGUUGUUCUGGUAAUUAUGCUGUGCUCUAUCUAGAGCACAAUAUUAGACAGUCAUCAGGAUGCAGGGACACAUCUAUAGCUAGUCUGUUGAACAAAUCAUGCGCAAGUAUCUUUGUUUUCCUUUCGUACUGCAGAAAGAUUGAAAGAUAAACAAGAACAUCACGUACGAGACUAUCUUAGAGCGGCUAAAUCAUAAUCUUUGGUCAAAACAGGGAUCUCAGCAUAAAAAUAACCAUGAUCAGAAUUAAGGAUGGUAACUUUAGUCGAUCCAUCUGGUAUCCAAUCUGAUCCAAUCUGAAUAAGGUAGGUUUUAUCCAAUCUGAUUAGAAUUCGUGAUCUAAAAAAAAUAUUCAAAGUCGAUUUGGAUCAGAUAUAGAUAAUGGUAUGUUUCGUUUCGAACUUAAAUCAAUAUAAUUAUCUAUAUAUUUUUUUAAAAUUAUAAUUAUUUUAUAAUGCUUAUAUGUAUCGGAUUCAAUCUAAUCUCUUUUAUCUAUCCGAUCUGACUUGAUUGUGGCAAAUAUGGGACGGGUGUAGAUAUAGAGUUUUUAAUUACGAAACGGAUAUGGAUAUUGGUUGACCUAAUUCAUAUCUAAUCCGCUGUCGUCCUUAAUCAGGACAACCAUACAAUCAAUAGAGUAAGGUUUUCUUCUUUUUGCUUUUGAUGUGACACUAACAUGAAAUUUGCCCUUGCAAAUGAAAUGGGAUAUAUUGCUUUUUUGGCAGCUCAGCAUUCUUCAACUUUGGCCUAGAGUUGGCGUGAAGAUUAAGUGGCUUGAGGUUGAAGGGUCAAAGAAGAUGGCCAUAGUCAAUUGUAACAAGUCUUUAGGUAUCUUUUCAACAUGGCAGGAAAGUAAACAACGCUCAUCGGGCCCAAUUAGCCCGGUGAAUAAUGUUUGCUGAUGACAACUAGGGGUAUGACUAAUUCAGCCUCCAAGUAAUAUUUUUUUCCUCUGUCAAAUGACUGAACUAAAGGAUUAGUUCCCUGUAUUGGCUCUGUCCAUAGGUUACAGAUGUCCACCAGCAACAGGCUUUCAUUUCAUGGUGCUGUUGCAGUAUUCCCAUGACUACUUGGAUGACAAUUUGGAUACGUUAAUUUCAUACAAAAAGAAAAAAAAGAGAAAAAUCAAGAAUAGACUUAUGAUUUUUUUUUUUUUAACUUUUUUUAGAGAAAUCAAGCGUUGGCCUAUGAAUUUUUUUCUCAUUUUUUUCACUUAAUUUUUUUUAAAAAAAAGCUUAUGAUCUAUAUCACAUGACUUGGGCGUGAGCUGAGCACAACAUGGCCUUAUUAUAUUAGCAGAGUUUUAUUGCCAAUGUCUUUUAUCUUCUUUGAGAUUGUGCAAGUUUGUAAUUUUGUAUGAAACAAUCAUCUGAUCAAGGUUUUAAGCUCGGGUGGAAUUGAGGAGGGGGUGCCAGCUGUCCUGUCUUGUUCAUAUAAGAAAAUGAAAUUUAGAUGGGUCUAAUCUCCGGAACCCAUCUAUAUGGAGGGAGGAAAAAAAAAAAAAGGAAGGAAAGAAAAGAAAA